UACGGAGGGUGCAAGCGUUAUCCGGAUUCACUGGGUUUAAAGGGUGCGUAGGUGGGUCUGUAAGUCAGUGGUGAAAUCUCAGAGCUUAACUUGGAAACUGCCAUUGAUACUAUCAGUCUUGAAUAUUGUGGAGGUCAGCGGAAUAUGUCAUGUAGCGGUGAAAUGCUUAGAUAUGACAUAGAACACCAAUUGCGAAGGCAGCUUGCUACACAGUUAUUGACGCUGAGGCACGAAAGCGUGGGGAUCAAACAGG
rnacentral:rRNA from 1 species